GACGAACGCUGGCGGCGUGCCUAAUACAUGCAAGUCGAACGCAGUGGGGACGGGUGAGUAACACGUGGGUAACCUCCCAUAAGAGGGGAUAACACUUGGAAACAGGUGCUAAACCGAUACUGAUGGAUGGACCCGCGGUGCAUUAGCUAGUUGGUGAGGUAACGGCUCACCAAGGCCACGAUGCAUAGCCGACCUUAGAGGGUGUUCGGCCACCCUGGGACUGAGCCACGGCCCAGACUCCUCCGGUAGGCCGCACUAGGGAAUCUUCGGCAAUGGACGAAAGUCUGACGGAGCAACGCCGCGUGAGUGAUGACGGCCUUCGGGUUGUAAAGCUCUGUUAAUCUGUACGCGGUACCGGAAUAGAAAGCCACGGCUAACUACGUGCCAGCAGCCGCGUAAUAC
rnacentral:rRNA from 1 species